UGAUUUCACCUGGACUCUGGUAUCAGGACUUGCAUUCAGCUCUGAAGAAGUUCCAUAUCUGGAAGCCUAUCAAAAGCAUGAGAAUUCAUUCCUGCAGAGGAAAACAGUAGAGCUAGAUAUAGUUUUUCCUCUAGAUUUGUUGCUCUUUUUAGAGUUCCUGAUAAAUAAAAUAGAGAGCUUUCUGUUUUUGAAUGCAGAGCUCCUGCUAUCUGCCUCUUUUAUUUCUCCCAGCAUGGUGACUGAGCUUGAGUGGGAUGGAAAUAGGAGCCCUGCAGGAGACCAAGUGAGCCAGAGCAAAAGAAAAAAUCACAGCUCCCCUUGCCCCCUUUGCUAACCAGGAUGUGGGGACAGCUGAACCUGCAGCCACAGCUCCUGCCAGCAAGUCCCAUCCUGUCUGGUGGCUGGGCAUACAGAAGGCUACAAAAGGCAUCCAUCUAGUUGAAUUCCUGCAUAAAGGCCUGUAGAACUUUCCCCCCAAGCUGCAGUCAAGUAUGUAUUCCAGAACAAGACUUAUUCUCAUCUAAAGGACUUCAAGCAAUGGUGAGUCCCUCGUUUUGUCUCAUUUAGUCUGCCUUGCAGCUUCUUCCACUGGAUUUUGUUGCGUUUUCAUUUCCUAAAUUAAAAAGCUGCUUACUAGCAAAUCCAUUUUUCAGAUGUAAGUACCUUUAAAUGGUGAUCAACUCACCUGUCCAUCUCUUCUUUGAAGAGGAGCUUUAUUAAGCUUCAUAUCACAUGGCACAUGGAUCAUUUCCGUGACUUACUUUUGCUUCUUUCCUAUAUUUCCACUAUCUUCUUGGAGAGUGGACACCUAAACAAAGUUCACCAUUCUAGUAGCAGUCUUUCC